rnacentral:rRNA from 1 species
CCCUACGGGGGGCAGCAGUAGGGAAUCUUCCCCAAUGGGCGAAAGCCUGGUGGAGCAACGCCGCGUGGGUGAAGAAGGUCUUCGGAUCGUAAAACCCUGUUGUUAGAGAAGAAAGUGCGUGAGAGUAACUGUUCACAUUUCGACGGUAUCUAACCAGAAAGCCACGGCUAACUACGUGCCAGCAGCCGCGGUAAUACGUAGGUGGCAAGCGUUAUCCGGAUUUAUUGGGCGUAAAGGGAACGCAGGCGGUCUUUUAAGUCUGAUGUGAAAGCCUUCGGCUUAACCGGAGUAGUGCAUUGGAAACU